AGGCCUAUAAUUUAAACACCUUGACUGAUGUACAAAGGAAUACUUUUAAGAAUCUUGCAGGCUUGGGACUAGUCAAGCUUCAGCAGGGACGGAAAGAGAGUUGGUUCAUUCCUACUAAAUUAGCGACAAAUCUUUCUGUUAGCUUGUCAGAUUCAUCAUCACGCAAACAGGGAUUCAUAGUUGUGGAAACAAACUUUAGGAUGUAUGCUUAUUCAUUUUCUUAGUUACAUUGUGAGAUUUUGCACCUUUCCUCAAGGGUUGAGUAUCAACUUCCAAAUCUUAUAGUUGGAGCAAUAACAAAAGAAAGCUUGUACAGUGCAUUUCAAAAUGCAUUACAGCUGAGGAGGCAAGUGUUAUAAUCGUGCAUUUUGGUUUUUCAUUUAUUUGCAGCAAUCCUCUGAUUGUAUACCAUAAAAACCUCUGGGACAAUUUGGCUCUUAAACUUUAUUUAUUUAUUUUUCUUUAGCCUUCUGCCUGUGCCUUAUCGUAAGUAUGAAAAUCUUUUACUAUGAUUCAUGUGGGAGGUAAUGUUCCAGAUUUUUUUUUUUGUCACUGAUGUUACAAAUUAUGAAUGGCAUAUGAAAACACUGUAUAACAAUCAGGUUUUGAUUUACAUGAACAAACUUGUAAUGCUGCUUUUCUCUUUGAAACUCUGUUCUUCUUCAGCCAUAUUCUAUCUGUUUAAUGCUUCAAU